rnacentral:rRNA from 1 species
CAGUCGCCACGGUAAUACGUAGGUCCCGAGUGUUGUCCGGAUUUAUUGGGCGUAAAGCGAGCGCAGGCGGUUAGAUAAGUCUGAAGUUAAAGGCUGUGGCUUAACCAUAGUACGCUUUGGAAACUGUUUAACUUGAGUGCAGAAGGGGAGAGUGGAAUUCCAUGUGUAGCGGUGAAAUGCGUAGAUAUAUGGAGGAACACCGGUGGCGAAAGCGGCUCUCUGGUCUGUAACUGACGCUGAGGCUCGAAAGCGUGGGGAGCAAACAGGAUUAGAUACCCGCGUAGUCCCUGUCUCUUAUACA